UACGUAGGUGGCAAGCGUUGUCCGGAAUUACUGGGCGUAAAGGGCGUGUAGGCGGCCUUUUAAGUCAGGCGUGAAAUCUCUGGGCUUAACCCAGAAAUUGCGUUUGAAACUGGAGGGCUUGAGGAUCGGAGAGGACAGUGGAAUUCCCAGUGUAGCGGUGAAAUUCGUAGAUAUUGGGAAGAACACCGGUGGCGAAGGCGGCUCUCUGGACCGUAACUGACGCUGAGGCGCGAAAGCGUGGGGAGCAAACAGG
rnacentral:rRNA from 1 species